rnacentral:rRNA from 1 species
AGCCUACGGGAGGCAGCAGUGAGGAAUAUUGGUCAAUGGGCGAGAGCCUGAACCAGCCAAGUCGCGUGAGGGAGUACUGCCCUAUGGGUUGUAAACCUCUUUUGUCGGGGAGCAAAAGCCGGACGUGUCCGGCUGUGAGAGUACCUGAAGAAAAAGCAUCGGCUAACUCCGUGCCAGCAGCCGCGGUAAUACGGAGGAUGCGAGCGUUAUCCGGAUUUAUUGGGUUUAAAGGGUGCGCAGGCGGUCUGUUAAGUCAGCGGUCAAAGCCCGGGGCUCAACCCCGGCCCGCCGUUGAAACUGGCAGU